GGAGCAGCAUUUUACUGGCACCGCAAAGUGCGUCUGUCAAAGGGUCUGCAAUUCACGCACGCUGGAAAUCAAUGACGAAGUAUCUUAUCAACGAGAUUUAUUCACGUUCCUUUGAAAGCUCUUUGAGGGCCGCAUCGUAAAAUGUAAAGGUGCAGGACUGCAAUUGCUCACUCACACCACUGCUGCCGGAAGGGGCCUCCACUAGGAGGAGCUCUCUCUAUCUCUCUCUCUCGAGACGCCCUGGACGGUGCUUUGGUCUACUCUUUCACGCUGGCCAGACGUCUUGGAAAAGAUGGGAGUACUCACGGUUUACCCAACGCGACCUGCCGAUCAACUCGACUAUGGUGCACCCAUUCUUACAGCUGGAUGGACAGUGGCGUUCAGAUUCAGCGCUGUGGAGGCGAGGGUUGGUGCAUCACUCAAACGGCGCUGUGCACAUCGAGGAGGUGCCACACACCAUGGGACUCCAGCAGAAGGCGGUGCAGCAAGUGUGGACUAAUCUCCGUCCGUUCCAUCUGCAGUGGAUGCAUACAUUUGACGAGUGGGAAAUUCUGUCAGGGUGAGGUGACCCCGUCUGCCAACACGUGCAUUGCGCUUCACAAUCUCCUGUCCCUCCAUGGACGUGGCCCUGCCUCGCCGUCUCGUCUCGUGUUACCGUGUUCCCUCUGCCCAUCACUCCCGCAACCAAGGCCUUCUGUCAACACCCCCCAGGUCAACCUCCGCACAAUGGCAGGUCACUCUCUUUCCUC